UGAACUAUAGUUAAAAAUAACAUUUGUUUUGCAAUCAAAAAGUGCCUAUAAAGCUAGUUUUA
rnacentral:tRNA from 1 species